UACGAAGGGGGCUAGCGUUGCUCGGAAUGACUGGGCGUAAAGGGCGCGUAGGCGGUUUGUACAGUCAGAUGUGAAAGCCCCGGGCUUAACCUGGGAACUGCGUUUGAAACUGGGAGACUUGAGUGUGGCAAAGGGGGGUGGAAUUCCACGUGUAGCAGUGAAAUGCGUAGAUAUGUGGAGGAACACCGAUGGCGAAGGCAGCCCCCUGGGUUAACACUGACGCUCAUGCACGAAAGCGUGGGGAGCAAACAGG
rnacentral:rRNA from 1 species